GGAGCACGUGGGCUGUUCGGAGGAAGUGGAACGCAACAAGGGUGAAGAAUUGGGGCUGUGGGGCAGUGGCAAAAGACCCCUGCUCACCGAUGCAGGCGCACCCUCCCAGAGAUUCCCCUGCCUCCCCAGCUGCCCUUGUGGAACAGGUACAGUGCUCUGCAGGGACAACUGGACAGCGGUGGUGAUGAUGGUUGUCCCGACUUGGUACAGUGGUGUAACUCCCAGAAAGGCAUCGAGGUGAUAUUCACUGGACAGUGUUGGACCCCCUGCCACUGCAGAGCAAUGCAAUUUGGGAGAAGAGGAAGAGUGGAAACGAGUACUGGGUUGGUGAAGUGGGCAUCCCCCAUGCCAGCCAUCCUUGGUUCCCCAGGUGCCUCUGCAAAAUAGGUUUAAGGCCCUGGAACUCAAGUGACAGUGCUGAUCAGCAGCACACGCAGCUGAAAGGCAAAUGCAGCCUGGGAGAGCCAUGCAGCAGAG